ACAAAACCAAAAUUAUCAAUACAUUAUAAAGAAAUAUUUAAACAUACAUGCACAAACAUAUAUACAUAUAUAUGUAUGAAUACAUAGAUGAUUGUAUACAGGAACUCUUAGCUCCACGAGGAGCAAAAAUCUGGAUACAAUGUUUAUCAGUUCACAUGUACUUCUAGUAUGUUCGAUUAAAUUAACAUGAAUAUAAAACCGAUUGCCCUUGAUCAACUACCAACAAUA
rnacentral:lncRNA from 1 species